rnacentral:rRNA from 1 species
UACGUAGGGGGCGAGCGUUGUCCGGAUUUAUUGGGCGUAAAGAGCUCGUAGGCGGUUUGGUAAGUUGGAUGUGAAAUCUCCAGGCUCAACUUGGAGGGGUCAUUCGAUACUGCCAUGACUAGAGUUCGGUAGGGGAGUGUGGAAUUCCUGGUGGAGCGGUGAAAUGCGCAGAUAUCAGGAGGAACACCCGUAGCGAAGGCGGCACUCUGGGCCGGAACUGACGCUGAGGUGCGAAAGCGUGGGGAGCGAACAGG